AUGGUGCCCUCCAGCCUGCUGUGGGCCCUGGUGGCCUUCACCUGCUCUGGAUCCAGCAUGGCCCAGAAAGUUACUCAAAACCAGCCAAAUAUGUUCAAGCAAGAGGGGUCAUCAGUUGACCUGAAGUGUCAGUAUGAAACAAGUUGGACUGACUACUAUCUUUAUUGGUACAAGCAGCUUCCUGAUGGAAGAAUGACCUACAUCAUUAAACAGUAUUCUUCUACCCAAAAAAUGGGUGAAAAAAUGGGUCGCUAUUCUAUAGACUUCCAGAAAACAGCCAAUAACAUCUUCCUCAACAUUGUGUCUUUACAAUUGGAUGAUUCAGCCAAGUAUCUCUGUGCUCUCCAAGAGAGCACAGUGUUUGAAGUGAUAGUAAAAGUUGAACAAAAAACCCAGACUGAAUAA